UUCCUUUUCCCCUUUCUUCUUUCUCUCCUAACCACAAAUAGAAGGGGAUGUCCCAUAAUGGAAUUACCGUUAUAAAAUGCCUCAAUUACUAUAAUGUUCUUGUACAGUCAUGCUCUGAUAAUACUGAGUGCUGUCACUGAAAAUGCUGAAGGAAAAUUUUAAAGGUUGCUCUUCCUUUUUACUUUAACAAGUCUCUAUCUGUAGAGAUUCCACAGUUGUUGUGACAACAGUUGGAGUGGAUCACUGCCUUGCAAAGAACCAUCACCUGAAUCAUCUCACUCCCAGGUUUUUCUUCUAGCCUUUUGCAUCAGAGAGCUCUUGUGAGGAAGAAAGGCUAGAGGUUUGGGUGAGAUGCGCUUUGAAUAACUUUAUUCUGAUGACAAAGAGAAUGCGUAUAACAUCAAACAAGACAAGAUGAAGC